UGGGGGGGGCAACGUCAAAGCUUUGUGGGGGGGGGAGUUAAAUUGCACUUUUUGCCUCCAGCCUCAACAGUCACUGCUACAUUCCCACCAACACACUCCUGUAGGCCGUGCGUCUCCAGGAUUUCUAUAUGGCUUUGGACGCAGCCUUUGUUCAGAGCAGACUACAGCACUGAGAAGGUCAUGAGCUCGAGUCCGCUUCAACCAUUUGACCUGAAGAUGUGGAUUUUGGCUUCUGGAAGAUUCCUCCUGGCAUCUGUGGUCAGGUCUACACUGAUCAUGUUUCUAAAAGGCAACGUCUCACCGUGGUGACACUUCCAUCUGUCACAGCGGUGGAAGGUAAACGAAGGUAAACAUUUUAUUAUUUCAUCAAGAGCAUAAAACACGUUCACAGCGCAGUACUACAAGCACAGUACUGUAGUGACAAGGAACACAAGCAUGUCUGUGAUGAUGCAUUAAAAAAAAAAUUCAAACUACACAAGAGCACAAAGAACGACCUGGACGCAGACGGUCUUUGUUUUCAGUGAUGAAAAAUCCAUGUUCAAGGCACUACAUUCCUUCACAACUGUCCUCACAAAUACUGUCACCGCUCUCAUACAGUACCACCACACAGUACCAUCAUACAGUACCACCAUACAGUACCACCACACAGUACCACCAUACAGUACCACCAUACAGUAGUAGUUUGGAUUCAAAAGUAGUGAGGAUGAUGUUUUCUUGGUGCAAGGCUUCAGUGUGGACCAAAGCCAAACAGGAAUAUACAUUAUGUACUGUGUAGUAUCCAGGUACACACUGUGUAGUAUCCAGGUACACACUGUCUAGUAUCCAAGUACACACUGUGUAGUAUCCAGGUACACACUGUGUAGUAUCCAGGUACACACUGUGUAGUAUCCAAGUACACACUGUGUAGUAUCCAGGUACACACUGUGUAGUAUCCAAGUACACACUGUGUAGUAUCCAGGUACACACAGGCCAAAGCAGGAGUUGGUGGGAGAUUUCACUGCUCACAAUGACAUAAUCAAAACACAGAACAGUCACCUGACCAAAAUCUCCAAUCAGGUGAACCUAAAGCAUUCAGAAAGAAUGUUUGAUCUUUU